rnacentral:rRNA from 1 species
ACGGAGGGUGCGAGCGUUGUUCGGAAUUAUUGGGCGUAAAGCGCGUGUAGGCGGUUUGUUAAGUCUGAUGUGAAAGCCCUGGGCUCAACCCAGGAAGUGCAUUGGAAACUGGCAAACUUGAGUACGGGAGAGGAAAGUGGAAUUCCGAGUGUAGGGGUGAAAUCCGUAGAUAUUCGGAGGAACACCAGUGGCGAAGGCGGCUUUCUGGACCGAUACUGACGCUGAGACGCGAAAGCGUGGGGAGCAAACAGG